GCGCCCGUGCCAUCGGGUCAAACCGGUGGCUGCGUUGGCGUUGCGGGCUCGGUCCGUCGGUGCCCCACAAAGGGCUAUCGGCGUGUCAACCGGCCCGCCCGUCCCCUCCUUCUGGAUUCCCGUUCCUGCUAUUGAGUUAGUGGGGACGUCACAGGGGGUCCAUCGUCGUGCGGCGUCAAAACCGUGCGGCGGUGGGUCCCUGGGGCCCAGAUCGUUUACCGUGAAAAAAUUAGAGUGUUCAAAGCAGGCAGAUCCAAUUUUCUGCCACCGAAUACAUUAGCAUGGGAUAAUGGAAUAGGACCCUGUCCUCCUAUUUUCAGUUGGUUUUGGCAGCGCGAGGACUAGGGUAAUGAUUAAUAGGGAUAGUUGGGGGCAUUAAUAUUUAAUUGUCAGAGGUGAAAUUCUUGGAUUUAUGAAAGAUUAACUUCUGCGAAAGCAUCUGCCAAGGAUGUUUUCAUUAAUCAAGAACGAAAGUUAGGGGAUCGAAGACGAUCAGAUACCGUCGUAGUCUUAACCAUAAACGAUGCCGACCAGCGAUUAGGAGACGUUGAAUACAAAACACCACCAUCGGUGCGGUCGUCCUUGGCGUCUCGGUCCUUCACGGGGCCGGGGCGCGGGGGUGGCUUAGCCCGGUGGCACCGGUGAAUGACUCCCCUAGCAGCUUGUGAGAAAUCAUAAGUCUUUGGGUUCCGGGGGGAGUAGGUCGCAAGGC
rnacentral:rRNA from 1 species